UUCUCCUCUCCCUCCUCUCUUCCAGCUGGUCCCUCUGCCAGGCCGACAGUGUCUCUGCUCCCCCCAUCCUCUGAGCAGCUCUCUGGGGGCUCGGCCACUCUGGCCUGCCUGCUGAGUGGCUACUCCCCCCAGGGGGCGAUGGUGAGCUGGGAGGUGGACGGAGCGGAGAUGAAGGAGGGGGUUCUGACCACCACAGAAGAAGAGAAGGGUGGACACUACUGCCGCAGCAGCACCCUGACCCUGAGCAAGGCACGCUGGGAAGAGGGGGAGGUGUACACCUGCUGGGUCGCCCAGGAUGACACCAGUGAUUCGGCCGUCUUCCGGAGAAGUCCCUGUAGUGACAAAAGCCAUUUUAGGGUGCUAGAGAGUCCCCACAUGGUGCUAGUUCUGGAAACAGUGUUUAAGAGCUGACUGUUACAGUAUAAUAGUGAAUAAUAUCAGUAGAGCUGUGUGCUAAAUUAACUAUUUUGAGAUUAAGUUGUAUAUGUCUUCUUGCCUCUGAGAUAAAGAUUGUUU